AGAGUGAACGCUGGCGGCGUGGCUAAGACAUGCAAGUCGAGCGGCAAGGCAGCAAUGCCCUAGAGCGGCGAACGGGUGCGUAACACGUGAACAACCUUCCUUCAAGUUGGGGAUAGCCCCGGGAAACUGGGAUUAAUACCGAAUGUGGACGGGCGAGGCAUCUCGCCCUAUCUAAAGCUUGUAAUGGCGCUUGAAGAGGGGUUCGCGGCCUAUCAGCUAGUUGGUGAGGUAACGGCUCACCAAGGCUAAGACGGGUAACCGGUCUGAGAGGACGAUCGGUCACACUGGAACUGAGACACGGUCCAGACACCUACGGUGGCAGCAGUUUCGAAUCAUUCACAA
rnacentral:rRNA from 1 species